GCCCCUAAACAAAUAUAUACUAGUCCAGUGAUAAUGAACGCCACACUAAUUUCCAAAUUGUACACAAGAAACCAAAAUCAAAACAACAUAAGACCAACAAAGGCCAGAGGCUCCCGAUCCGGGACAGGCGCAAAAACGCGGCGGGGCCAAACAUGUCUGUGAGACCCCAACCCUCCCCCCAUAACUCUAACCAAUGUAGAAAAGUAAACGCAUAACAAU
rnacentral:lncRNA from 1 species